UUUCCGUAGGUGAACCUGCGGAAGGAUCAUUAGUGAAUAACCGAGGUUCGAGGACUUCCGCUGACCCGAAAGCACCUGCACGUCCGCAUGCCCCCACACACAUCCAACUCACCCCUGUGUACACCACCGCGUAGGUCGCCUUUUGACUUGUUCGGAGGGCGGCUUACGCUUUCACACACUUUUUGUAUGCAGUGAAGAAUGUCUUUAUCGUUUUUGCGAUCCCGCGAUCCAAACAACUUUCAAGAACAGAUCACUUGCCUCUGGCAUCGAUGCAGACAG
rnacentral:misc_RNA from 1 species